GCGGGUCGCCGCGUGCCGGCC
rnacentral:siRNA from 1 species